AGUGAACGCUGGCGGUAGGCCUAACACAUGCAAGUCGAACGGCAGCACAGUAAGAGCUUGCUCUUACGGGUGGCGAGUGGCGGACGGGUGAGGAAUACAUCGGAAUCUACUUUUUCGUGGGGGAUAACGUAGGGAAACUUACGCUAAUACCGCAUACGACCUACGGGUGAAAGCAGGGGAUCUUCGGACCUUGCGCGAUUGAAUGAGCCGAUGUCGGAUUAGCUAGUUGGCGGGGUAAAGGCCCACCAAGGCGACGAUCCGUAGCUGGUCUGAGAGGAUGAUCAGCCACACUGGAACUGAGACACGGUCCAGACUCCUACGGGAGGCAGCAGUGGGGAAUAUUGGACAAUGGGCGCAAGCCUGAUCCAGCCAUACCGCGUGGGUGAAGAAGGCCUUCGGGUUGUAAAGCCCUUUUGUUGGGAAAGAAAAGCAGCAGGUUAAUACCCCGCUGUUCUGACGGUACCCAAAGAGUAAGCACCGGCUAAUUUCGUG
rnacentral:rRNA from 1 species